rnacentral:rRNA from 1 species
GAUGAACGCUGGCGGCGUGCCUAAUACAUGCAAGUCGAGCGACGCGGGGACGGGUGAGUAACCCGUGGAUAACCUCCUAUAAGCCUGGGUUAACUUCGGGCACCCGGAGUUAACCCGGUUGCUUCUCGCUUGAUCUUCGCUGGUCUAGCUAGUUGGUCAGGUAACGGCUUACCAAGGCCACGAUGCAUAGCCGACCUGGGAGGGUGAUCCGCCACACUGAAGAUGAGACACGGUCCAGACUCCUACGGAAGGCAGCAGUAGGGAAUCUACCGCAAUGGGCGAAAGCCUGACCGAGCAACGCCGCGUGAAUGAUGAAGGUCUUCGGGUCGUAAAACUCUGUUAUUAGGGAAGCGGUACCGAAGCAGAAAGCCACGGCUAACUACGUGCCAGCAGCCGCGGUAAUUC